GAACACAAAAUGGCGACACGUGGUUAGCAUUCGUCGCCAACGAGAAAUUGGGGUCGGCCCGAAAGCUCUAGAAUGCACCCCUCUUCCUCCCCGGGGCCUUCCACCUCCGCGAGUUUUAUGACUUAAAAAAGCCCACAGGCUGGUCUGAAGAGGAAGACAAACAUAAAGAUGAAGUGCUUAAUUCAAGGUCACACAAUGUCGGGGAUGGACCUCCAGAUUUCCUUACUGACCUGCAUUAUCUUGUGGAUACCUGAGUGAAUUCCACACCACCCAUUUUAUAGAUGAAACCACUGAGACAUGGAGCAAUUGACUGAGUAGUCACUGCCCCACCCCUGCCUGGAGCCUCACACAUGACUCGCCUCCUCUCAGUGACCACAGGUGAGACGUGGUCUUGUAACACAGUGGUUAAGAAUGUGACUUUGGAGCCAGCCUGCUAGGGGCUGAAUUCUGACUCAGCCAUUUACUAACUGUGUGACCUUAGGGAGGAGGACCUGGUUGAUAGAAGAAUUUAUCUCGUAGUCUUAACAUCCACUGUAAUUCCAAACUUUGAGGACGAUAGAGAUCAGUGGGCUUUGACUGCCCAGCAUGCAGUCUCCAUUCUUAGGUGGGUUCCCAAGCCUGUAAAAUGUAAGCCUUAUGCUGCUGAGGGCCAUCUUGCCACCCUGAGGGAAACGCUGCCUGAGAAUGAAACAAGCAUAAGUAAAAGCUGAGCUGUGAGAUGGAGCAAGAUGAAGGCCACAUGACAUCUUUGGAGCACCUGGAUCUAACUGUGCCUUAAGCUAGUCUAACCCUGAACAUUUCAUCAUUUCAUUGACAUGAGCCCAGGUUUUCUUUUUUUUUGGAUGGAGUCUUGCUCUGUCGCCCAGGCUGGAGUGCAGUAGCUCAAUCUCGGCUCACUGCAAGCUCCACCUCCCGGGUUCACGCCAUUCUCCUGCCUUAGCCUCCCAAGUAGCUGGGACAACAGGCGCCCACCACCACUCCCAGCUAAUUUUUUGUAUUUUUAGUAGAGACGGGGUUUUACCAUGUUAGCCGGGAUGGUCUUGAUCUCCUGACCUCAUGAUCCGCCCGCCUCGGCCUCCCAAAGUGCUGGGAUUACAGGUGUGAGCCACUGCACCCAGCCCUCAGGUUUUCCCUUUUUUUACCCCUCCUUUUGAAAAUUUGAUGUGGAAUUUUGCCACCUGCAGCCAGAAGAGUUUUAACUAAUCAGUGCCAUAAAUUUUAUAUAGUUCUCCUUGCAAAAUGUGGAUCAGCCUUUCUCAGCAAAUCCUUUGUCAUAAAGUGCUGAAUUGUAAGUUUGUCAUGAGAAUCACAUGAGAUCAUGCAUGUGAAGAACCUGGCAUUAUCCUCCUCAUAGAAAAAAACCAGUAAAUAUUAACUACAGGAAGCAAGGAAGGAGUGGGGUGAGGGGAAGAAGAAGGGGUACUGAUUUAAAAGAACCCUGGAGUCCUAAGGAUAAUCUAGGAACCCUCAGACCCAAUCCGAUACCCCUAUUCUAAAUGCUCCUAGUGCCCUGUACCUUCCCCUCAUAAGCCUUCAUUAUCAUUGUAAUGAUAUGUUUAUGUAAUAUUUUGAUUAAUGUCUCUCCUUCACUGACCUAGCAGUUCUAGCAGGGCAGUGAUUUUGCUGUGUUGCAUCCCCAGCACCUAGUCUGGUAUGUGGCAUUCAGCAUAUGUUUAUUGAAUGAAUGGCCAUGUGGUUAUUCAGAUCCUCCUUGAUUAUUGGGGUUAGGAUUGUGGCAGAAGUGGCAAAAUCAGGGAGAGUAGUCCCUGUCCCCUCUGUAUCUUAUACACUGCCCACACUCCCAACACACAUACACAUACAGAGAAUUUUGUCUCAAUUAGAUAAUUAACUUCUGCUUGGUUGUAAACCAAACCACUGGUUCUUAAACUUUCAUUGGAUCAUUUUAUUGAAGAAUUAAAUAGUGUGGUUCUGGCCUAAUGUCUGGAAAGCCUUGCAGAGGAGUGGAUUAGGUCUUUGUGAUAAACAGGCAGCCUUCCCUGCUCCUGUGUCUUUAUAAAAUCUAUUUAACUGGAGUAGUCCACCCUCCCUCAGGCUCUUACAGGAAUAUGUUGGAGGCUGUAGGAAGGUGGGAAACCGAGAGGGAAAGGACUGGGCCGCUGGAGACUUCACUCAUUCCCUAGCAAGAAACAAAAGCAGUAAAAGGUGGCCCGAGGACAACCUGAAGCUCACUCCUUCAGCACUUUUGGCUGGAGGUCACUUGUUGGAGCCCCACUCAGAGCUCAGCACACCACCCCACCAGCAGCCUCCUCCUCCCAGCUGAGGCUGCAUUUCAUCCCUUCCCCCAGCCUGCUUUCCCUGAGAUAGGGGAGUGUUUCCCAGGGCCCAUGUGACUUCCACUGGCAAGUGACGAUUACCAAUGGUUUACUAGUCAGUGAAACUACCAAAGGCUUUUGUGCUGUAGUAAUCCUUUUCCUGUUUAAAACUCUGGGGAUUUUCUAAUGUUGCCAAUAGUUUUUCAAGUCAGCAAUUACUGUGUGGAUUAUGUAAUGGCUCGGUAUUAAAAAUAGAAAAGAC
rnacentral:lncRNA from 1 species